rnacentral:SRP_RNA from 1 species
GCUGGGUGUGGUGACUCACACCUGUAAUCCCAGCACUUUGGGAGGCUGAGGCAGGAGGAUCGCUUGAGCCCAGGAGUUUGAGACCAGCCUGGGCAACAUAGUGGGACCCUGUCUCUG